rnacentral:misc_RNA from 1 species
GUAGGUGAACCUGCGGAAGGAUCAUUAUCGAAUGAACUCGGAGUCGGUUGUCGCUGGCCCCUUCACCGGGGCAUGUGCACGCCUUCUCUAUUCAUCCACACACACCUGUGCACUCGUGAGACGGAUUGUUCGUCCCUCUCUAGUAGAGGGUGGUACGGUCCGUCUAUUAUACAUAAACUCCAGUAAUAUAAACUCGAAUGUCAUUUGAUGUAACGCAUCUUUAAACUAAGUUUCAACAACGGAUCUCUUGGUUCUG